CUGGUCCACUGUGCUGCAGGAAUCUCUCGGUCUCCAGCACUUGCUGUUGCCUACGUCAUGUAUAGCCUGAAAAUGGAUCUGGAUCAUGCAUACAGGUUUGUGAAAGAACGCAGACCUACUAUUUCACCGAAUUUUAACUUCUUGGGGCAGCUGCAGCUCUUCCAGGGAACGCUGUCUUUAAAGAAUAAUAACACUAACCUUCAGGUUCAGCAGUCAGUCAAACCGUUGGAUAACUGCCUACAGCCCACCAAUGAAAAAAACAACAGCAGUUCCACAGUGGCACUGUUAACUAACCUGAACCUUCAGAACAACAUGGACAAAAACUGUAUUAUUAAUGGAUGUACUGAGGAUUCCAAAGCAAACUUGCACUUUGAGAACAAGAACAACCAAAUGGAAACUAUUCAGAGCCGAGGCCAACGCUAUGAGGUAAUGAAGCCAGAGUUUACAUUAUCUCUUUCAGACAAGCUCGGAGCGCUCACUCUCCGCACAAAUCCCAUAGAGGUACAAAGACCAGUCAAAGUCACAUCCCAGACACAGCAGGAUGCACCAAAAUCCAACCUACCCAAGCCUACUUACCUUCAGAUUCCGUCUCUAGAGGAGAAACGCAAAAGCCUUACUCUUUCCCUAACACCAGUGAGUGCAGUUCCUCAGACUCACCAGAAGGGGUCAUCAGUGAACAGCUGUGAUCUGAGGCAGGGCAGUUCCACAGUUGACCAGACGGGGGCGUUAGAUGACCUGGGCAGAGUCAAUUUGGAGCCGUCAACAUCAGAAACCAGAACAGAACCAAAAGAGGCAAACGGGUUUAUCAGUGAGGAAGCUUCGGCUAGACUCAGCAUCUCAAAAUCACAAAGAAGAAAGAGUAAACUAAACAGCAGUAACCCCAGAGCAAAUGUGGAGCUACAAAAAACAAACCAACUGAACCAUUCAAGCACAAGAUCACACAGGCAGAGCCAGGGACCAUGUGGUAUCAUAACCUCCCCGGAGGAGCAUUUCAAGAAAGAGGUUAUUGGUGGUGUAGAAGCAGUGGAGGGUAUGGUUGGAGACCAGAGCCCCUUGUCUCCGGUAAGUCUAACAGUCAACAAAAUACUGGACUGGUGCGAACGCAUGCUGCUUGGGGUCCUACUUGGCCCACGUGUUAAACUGGGACAGGCUGCUUUGCCGUACAGAUGUUGAAGAGAGACUGGUUGUAUGGACUGCGCUAUUUAAAAAUACAGGUGUAAACAAGGACUGUACACUGUAUCUCCCUAAUGAUCUGAAGGAACUUAAAUGAGGACAACGACGCUAUCAAUGAAAAAGCAUAUGUGUGAUUGUGUGAAUUCACUUAUUUAUUUAAUAAAAUUGCAUGUUCCUCCAAGACUAUUUGACAGACUCACGUCAUCUGGUGGACUGGUGAUAUGUGAAUAAAUGACUGAACGUUUGCAAGCACAUAAGCGAUUUGUUCUAUUAUAAUGCACAGCCUGCCUGUGACUUUAUUUAUUGAAAUACACUGAUAAUUGUUAUUUAUAAAGGGGUAUUUUGCAGGUGGAAUUUUAACACUAUAGCUUGUAUUGAAAACAG
ensembl:lncRNA